GACGAACGCUGGCGGCGUGCUUAACACAUGCAAGUCGAGCGGUAAGGCCCUUUCGGGGGUACGACGAGCGGCGAACGGGUGAGUAACACGUGGGUGACCUGCCCUCAGCUCUGGGAUAAGCCUGGGAAACCGGGUCUAAUACUGGAUAUGACUCCAUGACGCAUGUUGUGGGGUGGAAAGCCUUGUGCGGCUGAGGAUGGGCCCGCGGCCUAUCAGCUUGUUGGUGGGGNGAUGGCCUACCAAGGCGACGACGGGUAGCCGGCCUGAGAGGGCGACCGGCCACACUGGGACUGAGACACGGCCCAGACUCCUACGGGAGGCAGCAGUGGGGAAUCUUGCGCAAUGGGCGAAAGCCUGACGCAGCGACGCCGCGUGAGGAUGACGGCCUGG
rnacentral:rRNA from 1 species